rnacentral:rRNA from 1 species
UACGUAGGGGGCAAGCGUUGUCCGGAAUCAUUGGGCGUAAAGAGCGUGUAGGCGGCUCGGUAAGUCCGCUGUGAAAGUCCAGGGCUCAACCCUGGAAUGCCGGUGGAAACUGUCGAGCUAGAGUCCGGAAGAGGCGAGUGGAAUUCCUGGUGUAGCGGUGAAAUGCGCAGAUAUCAGGAGGAACACCAAUGGCGAAGGCAGCUCGCUGGGACGGUACUGACGCUGAGACGCAAAAGCGUGGGGAGCAAACAGG